rnacentral:rRNA from 1 species
GAUGAACGCUGGCGGCGUGCCUAAUACAUGCAAGUCGAGCGAACAGACGAGGAGCUUGCUCCUCUGACGUUGGCGGCGGACGGGUGAGUAACACGUGGAUAACCUACCUAUAAGACUGGGAUAACUUCGGGAAACCGGAGCUAAUACCGGAUAAUAUAUUGAACCGCAUGGUUCAAUAGUGAAAGACGGUUUUGCUGUCACUUAUAGAUGGAUCCGCGCCGCAUUAGCUAGUUGGUAAGGUAACGGCUUACCAAGGCAACGAUGCGUAGCCGACCUGAGAGGGUGGUCGGCCACACUGGAACUGAGACACGGUCCAGACUCCUACGGGAGGCAGCAGUAGGGAAUCUUCCGCAAUGGGCGAAAGCCUGACGGAGCAACGCCGCGUGAGUGAUGAAGGUCUUCGGAUCGUAAAACUCUGUUAUUAGGGAAGAACAAAUGUGUAAGUAACUAUGCACGUCUUGACGGUACCUAAUCAGAAAGCCACGGCUAACUACGUG